rnacentral:tRNA from 1 species
AGGGAUGUAGCGCAGCUUGGUAGCGCCUUAGUUUUGGGUACCCAAUUUCAUGGGUUCAAAUCCCCUUGG